rnacentral:lncRNA from 10 species
AACAGGACACUAUAUCUGGAGCCAGGAAUAAUAGGAUCCGAGAAACAGUAACAAGUAUAAAACAAAGUGGUCUUGAACUCCUGGCCUCAAGUAAUCCUCCCCACUGGGCUUCCCAAAGUGCUGGGACUACAGAGGUGAGCCAAUACAUCAAGCCCAAUUGUUGUUUCAGUUAUGCUUGCUACACUUGCAAAGCCAAGCAAAUGUUACAAAUGUGCAAGAAAUUAGAGGUAUGGUAAGAUGUUGCUUAAUCACUAUUGGGUAAUUGUUGGACAGCUUUCAGAAUCUCUACAUUCCCCAAACCGGUUUCAGAUGAAAUUUUAGACCAGACUGCUAUGCAAUUUUACAUAGUAAUUAGUAUAAUAAUCUCUAAGCAGGGCAUUCUCCAAUUUUUACCCUCC